rnacentral:rRNA from 1 species
AGUGAACGCUGGCGGUAGGCCUAACACAUGCAAGUCGAACGGCAGCACAGUAAGAGCUUGCUCUUACGGGUGGCGAGUGGCGGACGGGCGAGGAAUACAUCGGAAUCUACUUUUUCGUGGGGGAUAACGUAGGGAAACUUACGCUAAUACCGCAUACGACCUACGGGUGAAAGCAGGGGAUCUUCGGACCUUGCGCGAUUGAAUGAGCCGAUGUCGGAUUAGCUAGUUGGCGGGGUAAAGGCCCACCAAGGCGACGAUCCGUAGCUGGUCUGAGAGGAUGAUCAGCCACACUGGAACUGAGACACGGUCCAGACUCCUACGGGAGGCAGCAGUGGGGAAUAUUGGACAAUGGGCGCAAGCCUGAUCCAGCCAUACCGCGUGGGUGAAGAAGACCUUCGGGUUGUAAAGCCCUUUUGUUGGGAAAGAAAAGCAGCAGGUUAAUACCCCGCUGUUCUGACGGUACCCAAAGAAUAAGCACCGGCUAACUUCGUG